rnacentral:lncRNA from 1 species
GCUUGCUAUCAAAAUAAUCCAAACAGGGAAGAAACGUACAAGUAAACAAGAAAAGCCCCAUACUCAUCUGGCUCCCUGGAGACAGCUACUUUUUAGGAGUUUCAUUUGCCUUCUUCAAGAGAGCUUUCUUCCACUGACAUAAAAUGCCAGCUUGAUCGUACAGUAUAUCUGUCUAUUUACUUGGGUCCAGUUCUAGGUUCUCUCUUCUGUUUCAUCGACCUCUCUGCCUGCCUUGGUACCAGCCUGCCUCUAGUAUUUAUUGCAGCCUGAAAAUGUGCUCUAACUUUCAUGUGCUGAAACCUGUGUACAUCUUUUGAAAAACUUUUCCAGCUAGUCUGUCAUGGAGGUUAGCAAUUUGUUUGUGGUUUAACUAUGCACUUCACGGGAUUACCGGGGUUGUUGAACAUCUUUUCUAGAUGUAUGUCUUCUCUUGUGACUUCCUGACUGUGUCCUUAGCAAGGGCUGUCUGUCUGUCUUGUCUCUAUGUCUCUCUUGAUACCCAGUUAAGAAAUGUGACCAUCCUAAAAGCUAAUACAUGAUAUGGAAAGAAAGAAUUAAUGGGGCUUCAAAUGCAAUCUGAAUCCAGGCACCUGGACCGCAGCCUCAGCCCCAGCUGGAGCUUGGAGCUGACCUGUGUUCUUCUAGGAGUGGCAGGUGAGGAGGAGCUGCAGGGGAUUCAGCCUGAGAAGUCCGUGUCAGUCACAGCUGGAGACUGUGUCACAGCUGGAGACUGGUCAUUGCACUGUGACCUCCCUAUUGCCUGUAGGGCCCAUCCAGCAGUUCAGAGGAACUGGACCAGGCCAGGAAUUAAUCUACAGCCAAAAGGAAGGCAACUUCCCCUGGAUAAGAACUGUUUCAGACAUCACAAAGAGAAACAAGAUGAACUAUUCCAUCCAUAUCUGCAGCAUCAUGCCAGCAGAGCCGGCACCUACUACCGUGUGAAAUUCCAGAAAGGGAGCUUAACGUGGAGAUUAAGUCUGGACCAGGCACCUAGAUGUUUGUGCGUGCUAAGCCCUCUCUUCCAAAGAUUUCUGGCCACUCCAACAGGGAUAGCCCAGGCCAACUAGUGAAUCUCACCUGCACCUCAACUGGCUUCUUUGCCAAAAACAUAUAUGUGAAAUGACUCAAAAAUGGCAUGGAGCUUCCAGCCUUUCAGACCCAGGUCUCCUCACCUGCAGAUGCUUCCUCCUACACCGUCAUCAGCACUGCUACAGUGACCCUUGGCUUCUCCUCACUCCACUCCCAGGUCACCUGCCAGUUGGCUCACAGUGAAUUGCAGAGCCCCCUCAGAAGGCAUGUGAACGUCUCCCAAUUUCUCCAAGAUUAGCCUCCCACACAAAUAGGGCCAACCUUUUGUGACCACUGUAGGCUCCCUGCUUGAAUCAUGUCACCUGCAUCCUCCCAUUCAUUCCUCACAAAACCCGCAGUGAGGUGAUGAUGAGGUUCCCUGUUUUAUAUGACCAUCCUCCUUCUACAUAAUGCCAUGAUCGGGUUCUUCUCUUUCAGAGCUCCCUUCCCUCUAACGUCUUUGGGAGGUGGAACUUCAUUCACUAAUUCGACAGGUUUUUGCUGAGCAUCUGCUAUGUGGUGGCAUCAUUCUAGGUGCUAGAGAUUCCAUGGUAAACCGAGCAAACCUGGUUCUGCCUUGCUGAGUUUACAGUCAUGUGAACCCAAUCAACCAAGACGCAAACAACUAUAUGGUUAUGAUUCAUCACAUUUACUAUGAAGAGAAAGAACAAAUUGCUGAAAUAUAUGAAAAGGAGAGAAAUCAAGUUUACUCAGGAAAUGCCUUUUUGAAGAAAUUAUGUUUGAGCCAAGGCAUGGAGAAUGAAAAGAAGUCAGCCAAGCAAAGUGCAGAGUGUUCAAGGCACAGGUAACAGAGCAUGCAAAGGCCCUGUGCUGCCGUGGGGAGCAAGACAUGUCUGAGGAGCAAAGACGAAGCCAGUGUGGCUGAGGCCUAGUGAGAGGGUGAGUGCAUGGAAAAGGAAGAGGCUGGCAAGAGAGGGGCAGUGACCUGAUCACUUAGGACUUCACAGCAAAGAAGUUCCUCCCACCUGAACUCUCCGUGGGAACUCCCAACACCAUUGUUCAAACCACCAUGCCACCACUGCCUUGCCGCCAGUCACCACCUUUGAAACACGCUUCUUAAACUCACCCAGCAACAGGAGAAACAGCAAGGCAGGCUACACACACAUGCCCUUUCUGGCUCUUACUUCUUAAGGACAGAGUCCGUUGUUUAUUUCCUGAGAGCAAGUCCAGGCUGUUGUGUUGAAUCCAACUUUGCAGAAAUAUAGAAAGAAAGGCAAAGGAAAUUAUCCUCACUGCUUUUCAAGUCCAUCUGCCUUUGCCUUCAAAGGGGCUUUCCCCAGGGGCCUGUACUGUCCUUUGCCCCCCACCAACCUCAGCAUAGUGUAGUCUCAAUUACCUCCUGCAGAUGGGUGAAGUUCCUUCCAGGGGUCCAGAACUCCAUCUUUCCUUCUCUCCAGCUCCAGCCAGAGAAAACCAAGGAGACCCAUUAAUAGCACCAUAGUCUCCACAGCAACCCCAUAAGGGAGAUAAUUUAUGGUAUCAUUGUCAAAAAUCUAGUUCCUCAUUACUCAAACGCCUCCAUCCCAAAAUAGAAGUCUGUCUUGCUUAACCAAAAGAUACCACAAGAGAGCUCGAGCCUGGAAAGUGAAUUCUAGCCUCCACAUCAAUCAUCCCAGAGAAACUAGAGGCAGCUGUGUGUCCUUGCUUCAUUCAGAUGAGGAAACUGAGGCCCAGAAAAGUGAAGUGACUUGCCCAAGGUCACAGGGUUCUUUAGUAAGCAUGCUGGAAUUUGAAUCCAGUGUUAAACCUCUUCAGAUAACUACCUCUGAGCUGCCUCCUGUAAGAACCACCUAUGCAGAGAUACCAGAGAAAGGCAAUACCCAACCCCACCUUUCCCAAGAGUGGUGGUUCAGUCAUGGUCAGCUCAGAGAUGAGCGUUGUGCUGCUCCCCCAACCCUCUCAGAGCUUGCUGCUCCUUCUGUCCUACCCGUAUAAGUGAAGACAUUCCCCAUCAACCAAGUCAUCUAAGCCAGAAGCCUGUUUUCACCCAACCCAUCACCAAGUUCUAUCAGAUACCACUCCCAAAUAUUUCCUGAACUCAUACAUUUCUUUCCACUGCCACUAUUUAAACUAAUACUUAAGUUCAAGCCAACAUCCAUCUCUUACCUGAGCAAUUGCAAGAGCCUCCGAAUUGAUCGCUAAUAUCCACCACUGCCCUCUACAGUCCAUCCCCAAACUCCCAGCAGCCAAGGGGAUUUUAUAAACGAUACCAGAUCAUGUCUCUCGUUUGCUUAAAACCCUACAGUAGCUCAUCACUUCUCUUGGGGGAAAAAAAAAAUCUUACUGGGAUGUUCAACUGUGAUAUUCAAGCACUUUUGUGCACAUUUCCCUAAAAUAAUUGUGAAAAACCAUGUAGUCUAUCAUAUAUUUUAAAGUUGACAUCUAAGAUUUUUCAUUAUAACUUAAAUAGUUGCACAGAGCAUAACUCCUGGAGUAUUACAAAUGUUGCAUCACUCCAAAACAUAUUCAGUGAAAAAAAAAAUCAUCAUAAUUUAAUUUCCACCAUCAUCCAUUUAAACAUACAUAAAGAAGCUCUUCUUUAAUAAUCAGGCAUUUUAUAUCAUUCCUUUUACUUCCUAAUGCUGUAUUUCCAUUCUAACUCCCAUGAAGAAUUUUACCUUAAUGUAACAUAUUUUACAUUGGAAAAUCUUUUAUUGACUAUAAAAUCAUACAGAUACAUAUCACAGAGAACUAUGAGAACACAGAACUCAAGCAAAACCACAU